AUGAACGCUGGCGGCGUGCCUAAUACAUGCAAGUCGAGCGAACGGACGAGAAGCUUGCUUUUCUGAUGUUAGCGGCGGACGGGUGAGUAACACGUGGAUAACCUACCUAUAAGACUGGGAUAACUUCGGGAAACCGGAGCUAAUACCGGAUAAUAUUUUGAACCGCAUGGUUCAAAAGUGAAAGACGGUCUUGCUGUCACUUAUAGAUGGAUCCGCGCUGCAUUAGCUAGUUGGUAAGGUAACGGCUUACCAAGGCAACGAUGCAUAGCCGACCUGAGAGGGUGAUCGGCCACACUGGAACUGAGACACGGUCCAGACUCCUACGGGAGGCAGCAGUAGGGAAUCUUCCGCAAUGGGCGAAAGCCUGACGGAGCAACGCCGCGUGAGUGAUGAAGGUCUUCGGAUCGUAAAACUCUGUUAUUAGGGAAGAACAUAUGUGUAAGUAACUGUGUACAUCUUGACGGUACCUAAUCAGAAAGCCACGGCUAACUACGUG
rnacentral:rRNA from 1 species